rnacentral:rRNA from 1 species
UCAAGCGUUUAAGGGCGUGUGGCGGAUGCCUUGGCACUAAAAGACGAUGAAGGACGUGGUAUACUGCGAUAAGUUUCGGGGAGCUGUAUGCAAGUUUUGAUCCGAAAAUAUCCGAAUGGGGAAACCCACCACUUUAUGUGGUACUUUAAAUUGAAUAAAUAGAUUUAAAGAGAUAACCUGGAGAACUGAAACAUCUAAGUAACCAGAGGAAAAGAAAUCAAUUGAGAUUCCGUGAGUAGUGGCGAGCGAAAUCGGAAUAGGCCAGUAAAUAUAUUAAAAAAAUCUGAAAAGUCUGGAAAGACUUACCAAAGAGGGUGACAGUCCCGUAAGAGUAAUGUUUAAUAUGUUUCUUGAGUAAAGCGGGACACGUGAAAUCUUGCUCGAAUAUAGGGGGACCACCCUCUAAGCCUAAAUACUCUUCAGUGACCGAUAGUGAACUAGUACCGUGAGGGAAAGGUGAAAAGAACCCCUAUUAGGGGAGUGAAAUAGAACCUGAAACCGCAUGCCUACAAUCAGUCGAAGCUCUUUUUAGAGUGACGGCGUACCUUUUGUAUAAUGGGUCAGUGACUUAAUUUAUUAAGCAAGCUUAAGCCAUCUAGGUGUAGGCGCAGCGAAAGCAAGUCUUAAUAGGGCGAUUAGUUUAAUGAAUUAGACCCGAAAACGAAUGAGCUUACCAUGAGCAGGUUGAAUGCAAGGUAACACUUGCUGGAGGACCGAACCAGUUGACGUUGAAAAGUCUUUGGAUGACUUGUGGUAAGGGGUGAAAGGCCAACCAAAUUCGUAGAUAGCUGGUUUUCCGCGAAAACUAUUUAGGUAGUGCGUUGAAUAAAUAUGCGUUUAGAGGUAGAGCACUAAAUGGGCUAGGGGGAAGAGAUUCUUACCAAACCUAAUAAAACUCCGAAUGCUGAACGUAGUUCUUCAACAGACAGACUGUGGGUGCUAAGGUCCAUGGUCGAGAGGGAAAAAGCCCAGACCACCAGAUAAGGUCCCAAAAUUGUGAUUAAGUGUGAAAGGAUGUGGAAAUUCCUUAACAGCCGGGAGGUUGGCUUAGAAGCAGCCAUCCUUUAAAGAUAGCGUAACAGCUCACCGGUCUAAUAGAGUUUCUGCGCCUAAGAUGUAACGGGGCUAAAAUCACAUACCGAAUCUGUGGGUUUAUAAAAUUUUAGAAUUUUAUAAGCGGUAGCGGAACGUUCUGUAAGCCUGUAAAGGAAUACCCGUGAGGGAUUCUGGAGGUAUCAGAAGUGCGAAUGCUGACAUAAGUAACGAUAAAUAAAGUGAAAAACUUUAUCGCCGAAAAUCCAAGGGUUUCUGCGCAAGGUUAAUCCGCGCAGAGUUAGUCGGCCCCUAAGGCGAGGGCGAAAGCCGUAGUCGAUGGGAACAAGGUUAAUAUUCCUUGACCAGAUGGUAGUGACGGAUUUUGUAAGUUGUGAACUCUUAAUGGAUUGAGUUUGCCGCGAAAAAGUCCCAGGAAAUAGCUCCAUCAUAAGACCGUACCCUAAACCGACACAGGUGGAUUAAUAGAGUAUAUUUAGGCGCUUGAGAGAAUGAUGUUGAAGGAACUCGGCAAAAUGCUUCUGUAACUUCGGAAUAAAGAAGACCUUUUAGUAGGCAACUAUUAAAGGGUGGCACAAGCCAGGGAGAAGCGACUGUUUAUCAAAAACACAGGGCUCUGCUAACACGUAAGUGGAUGUAUAGGGUCUGACGCCUGCCCGGUGCUGGAAGGUUAAUGCGAUGGGUGCAAGCUCAUUUCUGAAGCCCCAGUAAACGGCGGCCGUAACUAUAACGGUCCUAAGGUAGCGAAAUUCCUUGUCGGGUAAGUUCCGACCUGCAUGAAUGGCGUAACGAUUUCUCCGCUGUCUCCAACAUCAACUCAGGA